rnacentral:tRNA from 1 species
GGGGAGGUGGCAGAGUGGCCUAUUGCGCUCGUCUGGAAAGCGAGAGGGUUAAAAGCCCACGCGGGUUCGAAUCCCGCCCUCUCCG